CGUGUAGGCGGUCGGUCAAGUCCGGUGUGAAAGCCCGGGGCUCAGCUCCGGAAGUGCAUCGGAAACUAGCCGACUGGAGCGCGAUAGAGGAGGGUGGAAUUCCUGGUGUAGCGGUGAAAUGCGUAGAUAUCAGGAGGAACACCGGCGGCGAAGGCGGCCCUCUGGAUCGUUGCUGACGCUGAGACGCGAAAGCGUGGGGAGCAAACAGGAUUAGAUACCCUGGUAGUCCACGCUGUAAACUAUGGGUACUAGGUGUUCGGGGUGUUGACCCCCUGAGUGCCGACGCUAACGCAUUAAGUACCCCGCCUGGGGACUACGGCCGCAAGGCUAAA
rnacentral:rRNA from 1 species